GAUGAAGAACGUAGCGAAAUGCGAUACUCGGUGUGAAUUGCAGAAUCCCGUGAACCAUCGAGUCUUUGAACGCAAGUUGCGCCCGAAGCCAUUUGGUUGAGGGCACGUCUGCCUGGGCGUCACAUAUCGUUGCCCGAUGCCUAUUGCACUGUGAUAGGAAAUUCUAGGGCGAAAGAUGGCUUCCCGUGAGCGUUGUUGCCUCGCGGUUGGUUGAAAAUCGAGUCCUUGGUAGGGUGUGCCAUGAUAGAUGGUGGUCGAGUUUGCACUAGACCGAUCAUGUGUGCGCUCCCCAAAAUAUGGACUCUUUGACCCCACACGCGUCUUUUGAUGCUCAUGACGAGACCUCAGGUCAGGCGGGGCUACCCGCUGAGUUUAAGCAUAUCAAUAAGCGGAGGA
rnacentral:misc_RNA from 1 species